AGAGUGGGGAUGACGUCAAUCAUCAUGCCCCUUAUGNCCUGGGCUACACACGUNCUACAAUGGCGUGNUAACACAAGGUAANCAANUCCGUGAGGGUGNACCUAAAUCNCUUAAAGCCNGUUCNUCAGUUCGGAUUGCNAGGCUGCAACUCGCCUGANAUGAAGUCGGAAAUCGCUAGUAAUCGCGGGAUCAGCAUGCCCGCGGGUGAAAUACGUUUCCCGGGGCCCUUUGUACACACCCGCCCCGUCACACCAUGAAGAGCUUGUAACACCCGAAGUCCGUGACGUAACCNCUAUGGAGGCCAGCCNCCUAAAGUGGGAU
rnacentral:rRNA from 1 species